CGAGCCCCGCAGCGGCCCGGCACCCCCGGAGGCCGCCAGGGCGGGGUGUACCCGGGCGCCCAUCUGUUCGCCAAAGCCUCGAUGUCCCUAUGCCUGACCCUUGACCCUCGCCCCGGAAGGUGACUUGGAAGUUCCGGCUCCGUCGCUAGGAAACGGGCCAGCCAGACGCGAGGGGCGGGGCUCCUGGUCUCGCUCCGGAGUGUGCGGAGCCAGGAGAAUGAGCAGUAAGAAGGGGGUCCCCAAAGCACCCUCAGCGAAGUGGCAGGCAUCCCUCCGCAAAGCCAAGCCCAGAGCAGCUGCUGGGAAGCCCGGAGAGAACGGCCAGGCGCAGAGGAAGACCGGCCAGCAGGCGAAGGCGCCCGCGCUGCCCGCGUG